rnacentral:rRNA from 1 species
UACGUAGGGGGCAAGCGUUGUCCGGAAUCAUUGGGCGUAAAGAGCGUGUAGGCGGUCCGGUAAGUCGGCUGUGAAAGUCCAGGGCUCAACCCUGGGAUGCCGGUCGAUACUGCCGGACUAGAGUUCGGAAGAGGCGAGUGGAAUUCCCGGUGUAGCGGUGAAAUGCGCAGAUAUCUGGAGGAACACCGGUGGCGAAGGCGGCAUCCUGGACCGACACUGACGCUGAGGAGCGAAAGCCAGGGGAGCAAACGGG